rnacentral:misc_RNA from 1 species
GCAAAAUCGUGGGUUCAGUAAGAAAAUGUGAUACGUUAAUGCAGCGGUGGAUAAUCUCAGCUUUUGAUUAACAGAUGUUUAACAUUGUAUCAUUAAAAACAAUACCAUUCCAUUUUCACAAUUGAAAUCGAAUGAUUUGACACUAUAUCACAAGCAACAGAUGUAAAUUUUUUUUUUCUCAACCACCAAAAGCUACCCUCCAUUAUUUUACCAAAUGAACCCAUCGCGCCAAGCUUGGCACGCCUUGGUUAACCGCAAACACCAUAUAAUAACCCGGCGGAGCAACCGCCCCAUUAGGCGGUGCAGUGCACCCAAUCCUAUACCGGCCGCUAGCGUCAGGGACGGAGGGCGUAACGGUCAACUUAACCAAUCUCUGUCCCUGUGAAAAUGAAUGCGUCGCAAAUGGUGCACUUCCCAAAUUAACUUGCACUAUCUCCACAACAGGCAACGAAACUGAUAUUAAGACAUUAAAAACCUCGCCGUAGCGUACCGCAUCGGGAAUCUCUUCGAUUACUGGUCGAAUAUUGGCCCGAUCAGGUGACAAGUAUUCCGGCGAAAACGCUUCGAUUCGUAAUUCUGUGGGAAAUUCGGCAUUGAAUUUGUAAAAGUAAUGUGGAUUACUACCGGCUAGCAAGACCCGGCCAUCGGGUAACAAGUUAGCGGUUGAGUGGUACAAUCUGGGUACGGUUCCCGGGUUUAACGUCAUGAACCUUAACCCAGCAGGUUGAUCAGGUCUAUACAAAAGUGGAUAUAGGCACGGGUUGGACGCCAUUUCGAACCCUUGGGUCCCAGCCUGAGCUCCAUUAAUAAUAAGCACUUCACCAGUUGGGAGGAUAACCAUGUCGCCCAUGAUCCGCCCCAAUGGCAUAGUCUCCAUUUCCCAAACCGGGUCGGGCGACGUCGCAACUAUGCGUCCGCAGCUGCCGUGGGCUGGGCUGUCCGUACUUUUCUCGAUAAAUGCUCCAUACUGGGCCCCGCCACAAACAACAAUCACAGCUGUAGAGUAAUCACCCUCCAGCGCCAGCAUAGCUGAUGAUCCAGCAGAUGGAUAAUUUCGGGGGCCUCCAUCCAACGGCGGAUACUCUCUGAUCACUCUGUUGGUCGCGUGAUCAUACAGGACGGCCUUGUUGUUUGCGAAGAUGAAAAGAUGGCCGUUAGGGAGGAGAUGGAUGUAAGGAUACAAAUUGUCCAUCUGACUGUCCUCCAUCUCAGAAAGAAACGGGAAGGAAACGGCUCCGUUUCUUGGGGGAUAAUACUCUACAGUAUUUGCUCCUCUCCCACCAACGAUAAUCACUGAACCAUCAGGUAAUAUCUGGUUCGUAGCAUACCACCUCCCCUCACUCAAUUUUACGUUGUCAAGCUCGACCCAGUCACAAGACCCAUUCAGUUCACACGGUUCGAAUUUUCGUAUCUUGGUGAAUCCAUCCAAGGCACCACCGGUGUGUAAGAGGGUACCGUCAGCGAGAAACUGACCCGAAGAGCACCAAGUGUCGGUGAGGAUCAUUAGGGGUCGGAUUUGUUUGGUUUGAGGAUCGAAGAGAACAGAAUGAGCAUAGCAAUCGCGCUUGAGGACAACUUCUUUAGGAUCAAAGCGGCAAUGGCCUUUGGGCAGCAUUUUCCGAGAUGGGCCAAUGUUAGUCCGGUCGAGGAGGACAACGGUGUUGAAGCGUGUGACUGCGGUGUGCAUGGAGGCAAUUCCAGCGUUGGGGACCAGAAUCUCCCACGUGCCAGGCAGCUGAGCGCGUGUCAAAAUCAUCAAAGUGAAGACUUCCAAAAAAAGAAGCCAUUGAAAAGAAGCACUAUCCAUUUU